AGUGAACGCUGGCGGUAGGCCUAACACAUGCAAGUCGAACGGCAGCACAGUAAGAGCUUGCUCUUACGGGUGGCGAGUGGCGGACGGGUGAGGAAUACAUCGGAAUCUACUUUUUCGUGGGGGAUAACGUAGGGAAACUUACGCUAAUACCGCAUACGACCUACGGGUGAAAGCAGGGGAUCUUCGGACCUUGCGCGAUUGAAUGAGCCGAUGUCGGAUUAGCUAGUUGGCGGGGUAAAGGCCCACCAAGGCGACGAUCCGUAGCUGGUCUGAGAGGAUGAUCAGCCACACUGGAACUGAGACACGGUCCAGACCCCUACGGGAGGCAGCAGUGGGGAAUAUUGGACAAUGGGCGCAAGCCUGAUCCAGCCAUACCGCGUGGGUGAAGAAGGCCUUCGGGUUGUAAAGCCCUUUUGUUGGGAAAGAAAAGCAGCAGGUUAAUACCCCGCUGUUCUGACGGUGCCCAAAGAAUAAGCACCGGCUAACUUCGUG
rnacentral:rRNA from 1 species